CGGGGUGGAGUAAUGUCUGGGAAACUGCCUGAUGGAGGGGGAUAACUACUGGAAACGGUAGCUAAUACCGCAUAACGUCGCAAGACCAAAGAGGGGGACCUUCGGGCCUCAUGCCAUCAGAUGUGCCCAGAUGGGAUUAGCUAGUAGGUGGGGUAACGGCUCACCUAGGCGACGAUCCCUAGCUGGUCUGAGAGGAUGACCAGCCACACUGGAACUGAGACACGGUCCAG
rnacentral:rRNA from 1 species